ACGGAAGGCAGCAGUGGGGCAUAUUGCACAAUGGGCGAAAGCCUGAUGCAGCGACGCCGCGUGAGUGAAGAAGUAUUUCGGUAUGUAAAGCUCUAUCAGCAGGGAAGAAAAAUGACGGUACCUGCCUAAGAAGCACCGGCUAAAUACGUGCCAGCAGCCGCGGUAAUACGUAUGGUGCAAGCGUUAUCCGGAUUUACGGGGUGUAAAGGGAGCGAAGGCGGUACGGCAAGUCUGAUGUGAAAGCCCGGGGCUCAACCCCGGUACUGCAUUGGAAACUGUCGAACUAGAGUGUCGGAGAGGUAAGCGGAAUUCCUAGUGUAGCGGUGAAAUGCGUAGAUAGUAGGAGGAACACCAGCGGCGAAGGCGGCUUACUGGACGAUAACUGACGCUGAGGCUCGAAAGCGUGGGGAGCAAACAGGAUUAGAUACCCUGGUA
rnacentral:rRNA from 1 species